CCAAAAUAUGCAUUGUAAAAACAUGAAUUAGUACAAAAGAUGAAGUAGAGUGAUUGUAGUCAACGUUUGCUUUCAAAAUGGAUCAGUAUUUAUACUAAGUAACACAAUUGUAUGAAAUUCAGCUUGUCACCACCCUGAGGAAAAAGUUAAUUCAGUCUUAAUUCUGGAGGUUGGCUGAUUUGCUGGCUUACCUGCCUGUCUACUUAACUACCUACCUGUGUGCACUCUGCCAGUGGACUCAUUACCCAUGAAAAAGUGUUAUUGGGGGAGUGGCUUUGGAGGAAGACCUGAAGGAAGAGGGUGGGAUUUAAUUGAAUUUACAGCCCAAAUAUUGCUUGUGAGACAUAAUGUUAACGUAAUAUAUAAAAUUACACACACCAUGAUAUACGCUUUUGAACAUGUCACGCACCCGGUGAGUGUCCUGUUUUUUCCUCCUUUUCUCGCGUUCUGUUUUCCCCUGAGUUUUGCCUCUCUCCCUGUGUCUCCUCCCCUCUCCAUCUGUGUGUGCUCUCCGCUCCUGAGCUCAGCUGACAAUCCACACCUGCGUCUCAUCAACCUCCACCUUUGCCCGCCACACCUGCCAGCAGUCAGCCUCAUCUCUACGAGUAUUUCAACCCCGGCUCACCACUCAAUCCCCACUUGAUCGUCGUCGCUCCAGACUUGGUCCACUCACCUCCGUCUCCCGUUCAGUCAGCUGGGCUCACCUACCUGCCUGCUCCCCUCACAUCACCUCCACGGCACUCCCCCUCGCUCUUCGCCUGUUCGCCAGCCACCACAUCCCUUCCCACCUCUGUCUCCUUUCCCCCUCGGCCCUCUCGCCUGAACCUCUCCAGCCCCUUCAGCCCCUCAACUCCCCUUUUUCCCUUAAUAAAUCUCUUUAAAACCAG